CUUGUCUCUCAGUGAAACAAAAAUAUGUACAUAAAGCUAGAAAAGUGUUCCUUAGUAUUAGCGUUCCCUUUUGUUUGUAGUGCAGAUGGGUAAAUAUUCCCUAACUCUGAGCCCUGACCUCAAAACUGUGGUUUAAUAACUAACUGUAGCUUUACUAAAUUCCAUCACAGUGAUAGUCUGCUAUGUCACAAAAGCAAAUCUAGUCUACCUGCUCUUCAGGAUAAUUUAGUCAUUGCUCUCCAAGAUAUUUCUGUUUUUUGCAGAGUUUUGUGCUUGUGUAGGGUUGGUUUUUUUGUUUGUUUGUUUUGAUUUGUGUGUUAUUUUUUUCUUUUGUGAUGGAGGAUGGUAUUUUUUUUUUCUUGGAUUGAUUUAAGACACACAUAAUUGUCGUGUUGAUAAAGUAAGAAAGAUAUAAUCUUUGCACAUUAGUUACCUUCUGUGGCUUGUGAUUUGCUACAGAAAUUAGGUGAAGGGAAAGAAGUCUUUAGAUUCAGAUCCUGAGAAACUGUGUGCCCCAUUCCUUACAUUCACCAAGAAGAUUUUUAUCUAACAGCAGGAUGGAAGACAUCACUGAGUAACUUUUCAUGUAUUCAUGUUUCAUUUGUGCUCUCAAAAGUUUAAUCUGCCUACAAAACAGAUGAUGAGUCUGGCUCUAGUUACAAGCAGUGGGAGGCUUUACCUUUAGCAGGUUGGAUACUGCGUUGAUAAGAAGUAGAUGUUGUUCAGUUCCACUUCUUAAACAGCAACCUACUCGCUCUGCAGGUGUAAAAGCUCCAUCUCCAGUGCAGCUCCAUCGUGUGUGAAACAGCCUCACUGUGUGUGCUUGCAUGGCUGCCUCUGAGCUGGAGGUGAAAACUUUGGAGCCAGCCAGUCCCAGCUUUGGAUCUGCCCAUGCUACCUUCCAGACACAGGACAGCCCUUUGUACCAGGAUAACCCUGAUUUCAGGCAUAGUCAUUUUCAGAAAGCAUACUAAACAUAUGCAUGGAGAAAAAAGGAGUCAUCUGUGGUGCCGGGGAAGGCUUCGCAUUAUGUGCUGA
rnacentral:lncRNA from 1 species